rnacentral:rRNA from 1 species
UGGGGAAUUUUGGACAAUGGGGGCAGCAGUCGAGGAUCUUCGGCAAUGGACGAAAGUCUGACCGAGCAACGCCGCGUGUGCGAUGAAGGCCUUCGGGUUGUAAAGCACUGUCGAGGGGAAACAAGCCGUAAGGUUGAGUGACCCCUGGAGGAAGCACGGGCUAAGUUCGUGCCAGCAGCCGCGGUAAGACGAACCGUGCAAACGUUAUUCGGAAUCACUGGGCUUAAAGGGCGCGUGGGCGGGUGGUCA